rnacentral:piRNA from 1 species
UGGGAAUUCUUUGAUUAUCAA